ACGAGUGGCGAACGGGUGCGUAACGCGUAUACAACCUACCUCUUAUUAAGGAAUAGCUCAGAGAAAUUUGAAUUAAUACCUUAUAAUAUCAUAAAGUCGCAUGGCUUAAUGAUUAAAGAACUUCGAUAAGAGAUGGGUAUGCGUGAUAUUAGCUAGUUGGUAAGGUAACGGCUUACCAAGGCAACGAUAUCUAGGGGGUCUGAGAGGAUGAUCCCCCACACUGGUACUGAGACACGGACCAGACUCCUACGGGAGGCAGCAGUGAGGAAUCUUGCACAAUGGAGGAAACUCUGAUGCAGCGAUGCCGCGUGAGUGAAGAAGGCCUUUGGGUUGUAAAGCUCUUUCGUCGGGGAAGAAAAUGACUGUACCCGAAUAAGAAGGUCCGGCUAACUUCGUGCCAGCAGCCGCGGUAAUACGAAGGGACCUAGCGUAGUUCGGAAUUACUGGGCUUAAAGAGUUCGUAGGUGGUUGAAAAAGUUGGUGGUGAAAUCCCAGAGCUUAACUCUGGAACUGCCAUCAAAACUUUUCAGCUAGAGUAUGAUAGAGGAAAGCAGAAUUUCUAGUGUAGAGGUGAAAUUCGUAGAUAUUAGAAAGAAUACCAAUUGCGAAGGCAGCUUUCUGGAUCAUUACUGACACUGAGGAACGAAAGCAUGGGUAGCGAAGAGGAUUAGAUACCCUCGUAGUCCAUGCCGUAAACGAUGUGUGUUAGACGUUGGAAAUUUAUUUUCAGUGUCGCAGGGAAACCGAUAAACACACCGCCUGGGGAGUACGACCGCAAGGUUAAAACUCAAAUGAAUUGACGGGGACCCGCACAAGUAGUGGAGCAUGUGGUUUAAUUCGAAGAUACGCGCAGAACCUUACCAACACUUGACAUGUUCGUCGCGACUCUAAGAGAUUAGAGUUUUCGGUUCGGCCGGACGAAACACAGGUGCUGCAUGGCUGUCGUCAGCUCGUGUCGUGAGAUGUUGGGUUAAGUCCCGCAACGAGCGCAACCCUCACUUUUAGUUGCCAUCAUUAAGUUGGGCACUCUGAAAGAACUGCCAGUGAUAAGCUGGAGGAAGGUGGGGAUGACGUCAAGUCCUCAUGGCCCUUACGUGUUGGGCUACACACGUGCUACAAUGGCAUCUACAACAGGAAGCAAAACGGCAACGUUAAGCAAAUCCCGAAAAGAUGCCUCAGUUCGGAUUGCACUCUGCAACUCGAGUGCAUGAAGCUGGAAUUACUAGUAAUCGUGGAUCAGCGUGCCACGGUGAAUGCGUUCCCGGGUCUUGUACACACCGCCCGUCACACCAUGGGAGUUGGUUCUACCUUAAGGCAAGGUUUUAAACCCUUGACCACGGUAUAGUCAGCGACUGGGGUGAAGUCGUAACAAGGUAACC
rnacentral:rRNA from 1 species